UUAAUUCUAUUAGUAGUUAUAUAUUUAUUUUAAAGAUUAAGUUAUAUAUAUUUAAAUUUAAGUAAUUAAAUUGCGAAAUUGCAAAUAGUUUAUUAAAUUAAUUAUAAUUUAUUUAAUAGUACUUUACUAUAUAAAUAACUAUAGUAAUUCUAGAGUUAAUAUAUGUUAAAAACCCUAAUUUCGGAAGGGGUAUAUUUAUUAGAUUAAAAAUUAAUACCCUUUAGGGUUAAUUAGUAAUUUAUAAUAAUUUUUCGAAUUAUAUAGCUUUACGUUAGUAAUAGUUUAUUUAAAUUUUUGCCCUAUUAAUUUUCGACGGUUGGGUUUUGGCUAGUUAUAGUGAUAAUAGGUAAUGGAGGGUUAGGGCUCGACCUUGGAGAAGGAGUUUGAGAAACGGCUAUUAUAUUUAAGGAAGGUAGUAAGCGUGUAAAUUAUUUAAUUCCGAUAUAGGGAGGUAGUAAUAAUAAAUAUUAAUAUAAGGCUCUUUUAGGUUUUGUAAUUAGAAUAAGUAUAAUUUAAAUCCUUUAACGAGGAAUAAUUGGAGGGUAAGUUUGGUGCUAGUAGUUGCGGUAAUUCUAAUUCUAAUAGUAUAUAUUAAAGUUAUUGAGGUUAAAAAGUUUGUAAUUGAACUUUGGGCUCGGCUUAUUAGUCCGUUUUACUAUAUAUAUUAAUUGGGUUGGGCCUUUUUUUUUGGAGAACUAUAUACUUUUUAUUAAGUAUGUUGGGGAAUUAGGACUUUUACUAUAAAUAAAUUAGAUUAUUUAAAGAAGGCCUAUAUUCGAAUAUAUUAGUAUAGAAUAAUAGAAUAGAAUAUAUAGUUCUAUUUUAUUAGUUUCUAGGACUGUUGUAAUAAUUAAUAAGGAUAGUCGGGGGUAUUAGUAUUUAAUUAUUAGAGGUGAAA